rnacentral:rRNA from 1 species
AGUGAACGCUGGCGGUAGGCCUAACACAUGCAAGUCGAACGGCAGCACAGUAAGAGCUUGCUCUUACGGGUGGCGAGUGGCGGACGGGUGAGGAAUACAUCGGAAUCUACUUUUUCGUGGGGGAUAACGUAGGGAAACUUACGCUAAUACCGCAUACGACCUACGGGUGAAAGCAGGGGAUCUUCGGACCUUGCGCGAUUGAAUGAGCCGAUGUCGGAUUAGCUAGUUGGCGGGGUAAAGGCCCACCAAGGCGACGAUCCGUAGCUGGUCUGAGAGGAUGAUCAGCCACACUGGAACUGAGACACGGUCCAGACUCCUACGGGAGGCAGCAGUAGGGAAUAUUGGACAAUGGGCGCAAGCCUGAUCCAGCCAUACCGCGUGGGUGAAGAAGGCCUUCGGGUUGUAAAGCCCUUUUGUUGGGAAAGAAAAGCAGCAGAUGAAUACCCCGCUGUUCUGACGGUACCCAAAGAAUAAGCACCGGCUAACUUCGUG